AUUGAACGCUGGCGGCAUGCCUUACACAUGCAAGUCGAACGGUAACAGGUCUUCGGAUGCUGACGAGUGGCGAACGGGUGAGUAAUACAUCGGAACGUGCCUAGUAGUGGGGGAUAACUACUCGAAAGAGUGGCUAAUACCGCAUGAGAUCUACGGAUGAAAGCAGGGGAUCGCAAGACCUUGUGCUACUAGAGCGGCCGAUGGCAGGUUAGGUAGUUGGUGGGAUAAUAGCUUACCAAGCCGGCGAUCUGUAGCUGGUCUGAGAGGACGAUCAGCCACACUGGGACUGAGACACGGCCCAGACUACUACGGGAGGCAGCAGUGGGGAAUUUUGGACAAUGGGCGCAAGCCUGAUCCAGCAAUGCCGCGUGCAGGAUGAAGGCCUUCGGGUUGUAAACUGCUUUUGUACGGAGCGAAAAGCCCCGGGUUAAUACCCUGGGGUCAUGACGGUACCGUAAGAAUAAGCACCGGCUAACUACGUGCCAGCCGCCGCGGUAA
rnacentral:rRNA from 1 species